GACGAACGCUGGCGGCGUGCUUAACACAUGCAAGUCGAACGGUGAAGCUCCAGCUUGCUGGAGUGGAUCAGUGGCGAACGGGUGAGUAACACGUGAGCAACCUGCCCCUGACUCUGGAAUAAGCGCUGGAAACGGCGUCUAAUACUGGAUACGAGAAGGGUCCGCAUGGGCACUUUCUGGAAAGUUUUUCGGUUGGGGAUGGGCUCGCGGCCUAUCAGCUUGUUGGUGAGGUAAUGGCUCACCAAGGCGACGACGGGUAGCCGGCCUGAGAGGGCGACCGGCCACCCUAGGACUGAGACACGGCCCAGACUCCUACGGGAGGCAGCAGUGGGGAAUAUUGCACAAUGGGCGAAAGCCUGAUGCAGCGACGCCGCGUGAGGGAUGACGGCCUUCGGGUUGUAAACCUCUUUCAGCAGGGAAGAAGCGAAAGUGACGGUACCUGCAGAAGAAGCACCGGCUAACUACGUG
rnacentral:rRNA from 1 species